CUUUUUAAAAUGCAAACUCAUACACUGGACGGAGUAUGAGGGGCCUGGAUUUUCGAACAGUCGGCGUAUUAUAUGGUAUCACCCUGUAUGUUGUUAUGUUUAGUAUCGCUGCUGUUAUACAAUAGACACAGAAUAAUGUACACAUGUAGAAUGGCUAACACAUACAAUAAACGUUAAUCCACAUUUAUCUGUAUCAGUUGUCAUCAUCGUUAAUAAUACAGGUGGAGGAGGAGGAGGAUUUUCGCACCCUCGUUGAUGAUGUCGUCGCCUUGAAAAGAUCGGGGUAGUCACGCUUGCGAGGGCUGCUAUACUGUCGGCUGCGCUGCUGUCAUCACGCUUGCGAGGGCUACUACUAUCGCCUGCGCUGCUGUGAUAUCCGUACUGUAUUACUUUGACUUCUUUGGCAGGACUGCCAGGUUCGGCCCGUCGUUAUCGCCCUCUCCAUCCUUCGCCAAAAGGAGUUUCCUCGCAGCUGCCAAUAACCAACCCUCCUUUUCGAUGAUGAAUUUUAGCAUCUGGAUCUCCUCGCUGGUUGUAUACGGUGGUCUGUAACCGGACAUUUUUUUGCUUGGAGGCAGCAACACUAACACAGCAGAACUGAAUCUGAUAAAUAGCUACUUAAAAGAGCCCAACAGGAGCAAUGAUAUCUGAUAGAGGAGAACGCCGGAUAUUUAUAGUUUAGAUGAGUUUGAGAACAAGUGGGGCCGUUCUAGGAAAAGUGCGUCGUCUCUGAAAAUCUCCAGUGAUACAGUGUAAAAUGUUACAAAUAAAGCGCCUUAGAAUACAAUUCGAUUACUUUGUGGAUUAAAUAUUAUUUUGAGAA